CCGCCGGCUUUCGGACAGCUGCUCCUGGAGACUGGCCACCAGUGCCUGGGAGGACUUCAGCUGCAGGCACAGCUCCUGCUCGGGUGGGGCCGUCCACUGCCGCACCAGGCUUCCUGUGGCAGGGGAGACUCCUGAGCAAGGGUGACAGACCCCUGCCACACAGCCACCCCCGUCCUGCCCACCAACCAGGUUCUGCAGGUCGGUUCUGAGGGCAGCGAUGGUCUUCGCCUUCUGCUCAUUCUGCUCUAGCCUUCAGUGGCUCCCAGUGUCUCAGGAGUCAAGGCCCACACCCUGACCAGCUCUCCAGCCUCAGAUGCAGUGGCUGCCCGAGGCUCUGCCUUGUCCUUGUGGCACAACAGAGGGAGUGCCCACCACAGGCCUUUUCCUGGCCAGUCCUUCUGCCUGGAGCACCUGUCACCAUUAGUCUAACAAUAAGUAAUUUUACUGUUCCUUCCUUCCCAGGAUGCACCUUCUUCCUAAAGACCCCAGGUCCCCCUUCCUGUGGCUCAGGCCCUGGUGUGCUGCCCCUGCAGCUGUAUGGCACCGUUGGGCCCCCAUGUCCUGUCUUGCUCAUUUGGGGCUGGGUUGUGGUGUGUUUGACUCAGCUGGACCCCCUGAGGGUAGGGAGGGCUUCUGCCUGUCAGCCUGGUGGGGUGUUUGUGGACAAGUGGGCCCUGGACCCUGGGUUGUAAGGCACUGGCCCCACGGCCAGCAGGUUAGACCUCCACUGGGGAGCCGCCUCCCUACUUUCUGCUGAAGCUGCCCUCAAGAGACCUCUGAGCCCCCGAUGUGGGUGGUGGGUCCAAAACCUUCCACAAUCACGGCGGGGCUCAUAGACCCCCAGAGAGGGCGUGGGUGUCCUUCAUAUCGGGCAGGAGGUGGCCUGGUCCCUCUUCCUGCCUCGGUUUUUAUAUGAUUUACCUAAGGUGAGCUCUUGCCCCUAGAAGAAUGUUCCUGCUUUAAGCCUGAAAACUCCAGUUCUGGGUGCUGACCCCCAGGACGCAGUCCCAGUGAGUUCCCUGCCGUGCUCCCUGAAACCCUCACUGUAGGAGACCCCAGUGUCUGCCUCCUGGGCAUUAGGGGAGUGCCCUGCAGCCACUGGGAUGGUGACUCUGAAGAGUGUGCACCACCAGUGACAUCAGGGCCCCACCUGCCCUGGAACGGUGUGACCACAUCUGGGAUCCACAGCUGCUCGGCACGCUGGAUGGGCCCCGACCCCCCGGGCCCUCCCUGUGCAAGCUUGCUGGC